UUGUGCUAUUAAAUUGGUACUCAGACGUCACGGUUCACAGAGUUGGGGGUGGACUCUGACGGGCGCUCGCCAGCCGAGGCCGGCGGCGGGGGCGACCCCGCGGGCCCGCCAAAGCAACAGAGGUAUGGUUCACAAAGGGUGGGAGGUUCGGGCCCCGGGGGACCCUCGCUCGGUAAUGAUCCUUCCGCAGGUUCACCUACGGAAA
rnacentral:misc_RNA from 1 species